AUAGUCGCGUAUAGCAAUUCCGAAAGGAAGCGUACGAGGAAAGUCCGGGCUCCAUAGAGCAAUGAUGCUGGAUAACGUCCAGUGAGGGAGACCUUAAGGAAAGUGCAACAGAAAAUAACCGCCCAUAUGAUUUCUUUAUGAAAUUUUAUGAGCAAGGAUGAAAAGGCGAGGUAAGAGCUCACCGCUGGUAUGGUGACAUACUGGGUCUGUGUAAACCCCAUCUGGAGCAACACCCGAAAAUAGAAGGCUAAGACUGCUCGUCAUCUUCUGAUUGAGGUGGCUUGAGACAUAUAGUAAUAUAUGUACUAGAUAAAUGACUAUUCAAGACAGAACCCGGCUUACAGAUUUA
rnacentral:RNase_P_RNA from 1 species